GAUGAACGCUGGCGGCGUGCCUAAUACAUGCAAGUCGAGCGAACGGACGAGAAGCUUGCUUUUCUGAUGUUAGCGGCGGACGGGUGAGUAACACGUGGAUAACCUACCUAUAAGACUGGGAUAACUUCGGGAAACCGGAGCUAAUACCGGAUAAUAUUUUGAACCGCAUGGUUCAAAAGUGAAAGACGGUCUUGCUGUCACUUAUAGAUGGAUCCGCGCUGCAUUAGCUAGUUGGUAAGGUAACGGCUUACCAAGGCAACGAUGCAUAGCCGACCUGAGAGGGGGACCGGCCACCCGGGAACGGGAAAACGGUCCAAACCCUGAGGGGGGGCAGAAGUAGGGAUACUUCCGAAAGGGGCGAAAGCCUGACGGGGCAACGCGGGGGGGGUGAGGAAGGUCUUCGGAUCGUAAAACCCUUUUUUUGGGGAAAAACAAAUGUGUAAGUAACGGUGCACAUCUUGACGGUACCAAAGCAGAAAGCCACGGUUAACUACGU
rnacentral:rRNA from 1 species